GAUGAACGCUGGCGGCGUGCCUAAUACAUGCAAGUCGAGCGAACAGACGAGGAGCUUGCUCCUCUGACGUUAGCGGCGGACGGGUGAGUAACACGUGGAUAACCUACCUAUAAGACUGGGAUAACUUCGGGAAACCGGAGCUAAUACCGGAUAAUAUAUUGAACCGCAUGGUUCAAUAGUUAAAGACGGUUUUGCUGUCACUUAUAGAUGGAUCCGCGCCGCAUUAGCUAGUUGGUAAGGUAACGGCUUACCAAGGCGACGAUGCGUAGCCGACCUGAGAGGGUGAUCGGCCACACUGGAACUGAGACACGGUCCAGGCUCCUACGGGAGGCAGCAGUAGGGAAUCUUCCGCAAUGGGCGAAAGCCUGACGGAGCAACGCCGCGUGAGUGAUGAAGGUCUUCGGAUCGUAAAACUCUGUUAUUAGGGAAGAACAAAUGUGUAAGUAACUAUGCACGUCUUGACGGUACCUAAUCAGAAAGCCACGGCUAACUACGUG
rnacentral:rRNA from 1 species